UGUUCUCACUGCUCCUCUCUGCUCUGGGAUCCGCAGGAUGACGUCUGUCCUGGUUCUUCUUCUGUCUUUCAAAGUCACUAGUCUCCAGUUCUAAAUCCGAGCACUCUUACCCAUUCUAAAAAAUAGCCGGGCGUGGUGGCAGAUAGUACCAGCUCUUUGUUCUCGCUGGUUUUCUUUCCUCACCUUGGGCUGUUUCUUGCCUUUUCCAUUCUGGUGUUCUGCAAGGACCAGUUCCUUCA
rnacentral:lncRNA from 10 species